rnacentral:misc_RNA from 1 species
GAUGAAGAACGUAGCGAAAUGCGAUAAGUAGUGUGAAUUGCAGAAUUCAGUGAAUCAUCGAAUCUUCGAACGCACAUUGCGCCCCUCGGUAUUCCGUGGGGCAUGCCUGUUCGAGCGUCAUUUACCCCUCAAGCACUGCUUGGUGUUGGGCGUCUGUCCCGCUUCGCGCGCGGACUCGCCCCAAAGGUAUUGGCAGCGGUCGUGCCAGCUUCUCGCGCAGCACAUUGCGCUUCUCGAGGCGGUCGAUCGGCGUCCACGAAGCUCACCUCCACCGUUUGACCUCGGAUCAGGUAGGGAUACCCGCUGAACUUAAGCAUAUAAUAAGCGGAGGA